GCAGCUCCGGUGCUCGGAGUGUGCGGAGUCGUGUCCACAGGGCCGGCUUCAGGGGCGCCAGCACCGCCUGGCACACCGCCGUCUCCAGCGCGGGGCCUGCGGGGUGUGGGGGACGGGUGAGCACAGGACCGCCAAGUUGUCCCACGCCCACCCACGCGCUCCAACAACCCACCCUGGCCCACAGCCACCCCUGCCUAGCUCUGGUCCCCCGUGAGUGUAGACAUGGUUGUGAACAUGUGUGGAAGAGUUAGCCUGGGUGUGAACUUGCGCGCAUACGUGGGCGAUAGAACGCGUGGGAUGUGUAGGAAGGGCGUGUGGGUGCAGAAGGAAACGUGUGCGCACCGAUGGAGAGGACGAAGUUGCACACUUGAACCCGUGGGGGCUCCCUUCCAGUCCUCCCAUUACCUGGAUCCUCGUCCUUCUUGGGGAGCCCAGGACCCCUGCUUCCAAAGACAGCCCUGAUGUAGGAGUCCUUUGCCAGGUGAUCCUGGAGGUCAGUAAGGAGGUGCCGCACAUCCUGAAGCAGCUCCGUGGCCGGGUCCCCAGACCCGUGGGGACCCCCAGAAUCUGAGGCGAUGCGCACCCGAAGGCUUCGGUACUGCCUGGCCACGUAGCUGCUCCGGGCCCUGACCAGAGACUGGACGUGAAUGGUGAGCACGUCCUCAGGGCCUUCCUCUUCAGGGUCGUCCUCCCUUCCUUCCUCCUUUCCUUCAAGGUCUUCCUCCUCCUCUUCCAGUAGGCUGGCGAGAGCCGGCCCAGGAUGGUCCACUUCCGGGCUGAGCGGGCCUUUCACCCAGGAGACCCCGUGAGGCGCAGGGUUCCUGGGGGCU
rnacentral:lncRNA from 1 species